UACGUAGGGGGCAAGCGUUGUCCGGAUUUAUUGGGCGUAAAGAGCGUGUAGGCGGCCAAGCAGGUCCGCUGUGAAAACUCGAGGCUCAACCUCGAGAGGUCGGUGGAAACCGUUUGGCUAGAGUCCGGAAGAGGAGAGUGGAAUUCCCGGUGUAGCGGUGAAAUGCGCAGAUAUCAGGAGGAACACCGGUGGCGAAGGCGGUUCUCUGGGCAUUACCUGACGCUGAGGAGCGAAAGUGUGGGGAGCGAACAGG
rnacentral:rRNA from 1 species